AUGCGGCAGAAUGUCAAUAUUUCCAGCUGUACAUCCGAAAGAGAAAACAGACAAACGAUUUGCAGUGGGGACUUAUUUGCCUUGAAUUCCAAGAACGUCAGUCAAGAGUUUAAAAAAUCCAGUUGCGGUCAAGAGGUUGUGGAUGUUUCUCCUUUUGGGAUGUGUCACCAUCUGCCCUCUCCUACCUGUGACCAGGGACAUUGGAUGCAGUUGGUCCAUGGGCUUGUGAGGGGCCUGUUGGACCACCCUCUCCCGAUUCUGGGAAGCCCACCGGGGGGCCCACCUUGCCUCGCGCACUGCCGGGAUGCUGGGUGCUCUGAAUUCUGUGCUCUACGGACUUUUGCGAGCAGUUCAGCCUCCAUUCAACCUGGACAUCUUGGUGGCAGCACCUUUGCAGAAAAGCCUCAUCCUGCAGGCAUCUGACUGGCCCGCCCACAGAACCAGCAGGUCUGACGACCACCCUGGAACAGUGUCCCGACCUCCGGGAGUGUCCCUUAAGAAGGGAUCAGGCAAACCACUGUGGGCUGAGAGGCUGGCUCCCAGGAAGGCAGGCAGGGCCUGCAGUGAUUACGGGGUUCCAGGGAACAGAAUGGCCUGAAUAUGGGAAAACUUAGGCAGCGAGUAAUUUCUAAGAACUGAAGGGCUGUCCUGUGACAAGGGAACAGGGUCCUGGGUCACCUCAGACCCAGCUUCCAGGAGCCACAGGAAGGUGCGCUUCCUCAGGCAGUCUAAGUGUUUCUCUGACUUGUGUGCACACAUGUUGCUGGAAGGCGUGGGACAAACAGAGGCUGGACGACCCCUCCCUUCUUGGGAAGGACUGAAUGACAGCUGAGAGUUUCCAGGUACUUACCGUGUGCCAGGCCCCAUUUGUAACCCUCCCCCCUUUUUAUUUUGCUUUUUAGGGCCACACAUGGCAUAUGGAAGUUCCCAGGCUAGGGGUCAAAUCGGGGCUGCAGCUGCUGGCCUACGCCAGAGCCACAGUAACGCCAGAUUUGAGCCACGUCUGCCACCUACACUGCAGCUCACAGCAACGCUGGAUCCUUAACCCACUGAGCAAGGAUCAAACCUGCAUCCUCAUAGAUACUAGCUGAGUUUUUUUUACUGCUGAGCCACUACGGAAACCCCCUCAUUAGUAAACACUUUUGAGUAGCAAAAGUCUUGAAGCCCAGAGGAUCCCUCGCAGCUGUAAGGUUCACGUGAGCCGAUGGGCCCUGCUGGCACCCAGGAGAGCUGGAGCCCUGUCUGGAUUGGGGUGGGAGGGACGAAAGCAGGGAAGAGUCUCCAGAGAGUUGACCCUCCCUCCUAGACAGACACAGAGCCAGCCCUCCCAUCCUCGCCUCUUGUAGAUGCAGCAGGUGCCCAGCUUAGGACACACUUCUCCUGGAGGGUGGGUGUGGGAGGCGAGCCGGCCCCAACACAUAGACUCAGGUACAGACUCACAGACACACAGGCAUAGACAGACACACAUAUGCAGAUAGACACAGACCCAGACAUAGGACAAUACACAUAGACACAGACACAUAGAUAUAGACACACACACAGACACACACAGACCCAGGCAGACACACACACACACACACACACACACACACACACAAACCCAAUCCCUGCUGAGCCUCCUAAUCUGAAGCCUGCAUCUCCACUUCCCCCUCUUGGGCCGUCCCCCACAUGCAGCCGGCAUGGCCUUAUGAAACAAAACUUGUCACUCCCAUUUUAAAAUCUCCAACGGAGGAGUUCCCGUCAUGGCUCAGCGGAAACAAAUCUGACGAGCAUCCACGAGGACGCAGGUUCCAUCCCUGGCCUCGCUCAGUGGGUUAAGGAUCUGUCCUUACUGUGAGCUGUGGUAUAGGAUCGGCAUUGUUACAGCUGUGGUGCAGGCCAGCAGCUACACCUCCGAUUGGACCUCUAGCCUGGGAACCUCCAUAUGCCGUGGGUGCAGCCCUAAAAAAUAAAUAAAUUAAAUAAAUAUGAAAUCUCCA
ensembl:lncRNA